GCUUUCCUGUGUCUUAGUCAGUAGAGCUUUGCGCUUGCAAUGCAAAGGUCGUGGGUUCAAACCGCAGGGAAAGCA